rnacentral:rRNA from 1 species
CAGGGUGACAGGUGGUGCAUGGUUGUCGUCAGCUCGUGUCGUGAGAUGUUGGUUAAGUCCCGCAACGAGCGCAACCCUCGCCUCUAGUUGCCAGCAUUCGGUUGGGCACUCUAGAGGGACUGCCGGCGACAAGUCGGAGGAAGGUGGGGAUGACGUCAAAUCAUCAUGCCCCUUAUGACCUGGGCUACACACGUGCUACAAUGGGCGGUACAAAGGGCUGCGAACCCGCGAGGGGGAGCGAAUCCCAAAAAGCCGCUCUCAGUUCGGAUUGCAGGCUGCAACUCGCCUGCAUGAAGCCGGAAUCGCUAGUAAUCGCGGAUCAGCAUGCCGCGGUGAAUACGUUCCCGGGCCUU